UCCCUGGUGGCUCAGAUGGUAAAGCAUCUGCCUACAAUGCAGGAGACCAGGGUUCGAUCCCUGGGUUGGGAA
rnacentral:tRNA from 1 species